AUUGAACGCUGGCGGCAUGCUUUACACAUGCAAGUCGAACGGUAACAGGCCGCAAGGUGCUGACGAGUGGCGAACGGGUGAGUAAUGCAUCGGAACGUGCCCAGUCGUGGGGGAUAACUACUCGAAAGAGUAGCUAAUACCGCAUACGAUCUAUGGAUGAAAGCGGGGGACCGUAAGGCCUCGCGCGAUUGGAGCGGCCGAUGUCAGAUUAGGUAGUUGGUGGGGUAAAGGCUCACCAAGCCAACGAUCUGUAGCUGGUCUGAGAGGACGACCGGCCACACUGGGACUGGAACACGGCCCAGACUCCUACGGGAGGCAGCAGUGGGGAAUUUUGGACAAUGGGCGCAAGCCUGACCCAGCAAUGCCGCGUGCAGGAAGAAGGCCUUCGGGUUGUAAACUGCUUUUGUACGGAACGAAACGGCUCUGGUUAGUACCCGGGGCUAAUGACGGUACCGUAAGAAUAAGCACCGGCUAACUACGUG
rnacentral:rRNA from 1 species